CUUCGGGGGAGCUCGGGCACGGAAGCUCCUGAGCGGCCCCGGAGCCCCUUCGGUUUCCUAAGCGUAAUUCGGGCGCGCGGCGCCCAUGCUCAGUCGUUCGAACACGUUUUAUUCCGUAAUGUCUUUCUGGUGUUUUGCUACAGCUUGCCCGAAUGUCACCGAGCUCGGCUAGACUUCCAUCAGAUGGUGCGGUGAGGCGCCCCGCUCUCCCAGGGCUCUUUUCAUCACACACACACAGUGGUUCAUCACGUUAGGAUGCGGGGGAACAGCACGUUGCUGUGCCAGGGAAAGGCCAGACUGAAGCGAGGCGGCCAAGAGCUGGGCCUGGUGCCCCGUGCUGGUCAGCGCUGCCCUCCGUAACUGCUGCACCUCCUGCUGCCGCUGAGGAGGUGGGUGGCACGGCUGGGUGGGCGCUGGGAGCCCCUUCCCACUGAGCUGUUGAUAUCAGUGCCAUUUACAUGCUUCGUAACUUAUUCAUCUUCUGUGACCGCUAGAAAAUAUCUCUGUUUUUUUAAGCCUUAUUUUCACACAGAGAUCAUCAACUAAUGAAUACAGCAAUACUGGUUAAAAUGAAUACUGAGUCCUUUGUUUAAAAACAUGAAGAUAUGUAUGUUUUCUCUGUCAAGCAAUGAAAAACUCGUGCUGUAUUUUUAAGCAGAUAAUAGACAGUGAUAUAACUUCAGGAUCGUAUUCAUUUAAAACACGGUUGUGUUUUGUGUCUCUUACUCCCGCUGCAUGUUGACAAACUCUUCAGCAGAUGUGCACAGGGAAUUAAAACAGUGCUGUCCCUUG